AGGAGAGUACUCUGCAACCUCUAAAACGCCUUAAGACUCCAAGAUGAGGGGUAAUCCACUCUCUCCAAGAAAAAUAAGGCUCUAAUAUUGAGAAAGAAGAGAUAUCAGUUUAGAGGAGGGUAAUCCGCAACCUCUAAAACACUAGCACACCUUCAAGAAGAGGGAUAAUCCACUCUCUAACAAGAAGGAACUAGCUCUGAUACCAGUGAAAAUGUAGUCUCGACAAACUAUCACGGACACAAAAUACAAACUUGAAAUCUAACAAGAAGUUCAAGAAGAAGUGGCAGAACUAGAUUAAACAGAUGAGUACAAGAACAACACCAGAAAGGUGAGCU
rnacentral:lncRNA from 1 species